rnacentral:tRNA from 1 species
GGGCCUGUAGCUCAGCUGGUCAGAGCAGGGGACUCAUAAUCCCUUGGUCCUCGGUUCGAAUCCGAGCGGGCCCACCA